ACCAUAGUCCCUGUGCCUAAGAAUGCCAAGGUAACUUGUCUAAAUGACUACACUAGAAGACUUUUCUGCAAUUUUAACAGGUAAACACUAUAUGAUGAACAGGUUAAUACCAUACAUGUGUUUUACAGCAUUCAUGCUGUAGAUUGCAUAGAAUUUUGGGUAAAAUGCAGAAAAUACUGUUAUUAACUGUAAUUCGGAAGCCUCCUGUAAAAAUUACUUUAACAUACUGUAUUUCUUUACAGUAAUAGUUUAUGCCUACUGUAGAUUCAAAUGACCGUUUCAGGGUGAGACACAUGAAGCUCAGACUAUUUUAGUAAAUAUCUUCUUGAAGCGGCUGUGAAGUGGAAGAGUAUUUUCAGCAGCUGCUGGGUUCGAAAUCAAACCAAGAUGAUGAAUCCUGAAGAUGGGACAAAGUGUAUGACAAGGUGGCCCAGAGGAAGCCAGCUGUUUGUUCUCAAUCCCUACCUUGCCCCAUUCUUUAAAGAGCUCACUGAGUUUGAAUGAAGACCUCUAGUGAGGGUUGAGAAGAGCUGACGAAUCAGAAUUGAGGAGGUUUGAUUCGGAGCCCCAUGAGGAACAGCUGAUGGUGCGCUGACUUCUCUCUCCUGGAUGCUCUCCGGCCCAAACUGUCCUGUUGUGCGUUUCACCACCUCUGGACCGGACCCCCUUACCCCAAACAGAUUUGCCCAUGAUCCUAGAUCGGGCUGCAUCACACUCCACCGCUGCGGACUGCAAGGCGCUUCAGAGGGUGAUACACGCAGCCGAAUGCACCAUUGGGUGCACACUGCCUGCCCUCCAGAACACCUACAACACCAGGUGUCACAGGAAGGCCAAGAAGAUCAUCAGGGACCUCAGCCAUGGCCUGUUCUCCCAGUUUCCAUUAAUGUUUUAUCACUGCUACAGUUAUUAUGUAUAUAGUACUUUUUCUAUUUUUCUUAUUACCAUUUUCAUUGUUUUAUUUCACUAGUCCUGCAUGUUGGAGCUCGGAGCUCUGAAUCUGAAGAUCUAGAAUUGUACCCAAUCCCAAUUUUAACUCCGUCUCCCUCUCUCUGUCUCUCUCUCCCCCACAGCCCACACGCACAGGCACACAAUAUAGUUUUUACAUUAGUGUUGUAAUGAUUCUCUUAUUUGGUUACGUGUGUUAACUUGUUGUUACUUCUAUUGUCAAUUCUGUUGUUAAUUCGUUUUUAAUGUUGUUACCAAUUUGAAUAAAUGUAUUUUAUGUACAAA